rnacentral:rRNA from 1 species
GAACGGGUGAGUAACACGUGGGCAACCUGCCCAAAAGAGGGGGAUAACACUUGGAAACAGGUGCUAAUACCGCAUAACCAUAGUUACCGCAUGGUAACUAUGUAAAAGGUGGCUAUGCUACCGCUUUUGGAUGGGCCCGCGGCGCAUUAGCUAGUUGGUGGGGUAAAGGCUUACCAAGGCAAUGAUGCGUAGCCGAACUGAGAGGUUGAUCGGCCACAUUGGGACUGAGACACGGCCCAAACUCCUACGGGAGGCAGCAGUAGGGAAUCUUCCACAAUGGGCGAAAGCCUGAUGGAGCAACGCCGCGUGGGUGAAGAAGGUCUUCGGAUCGUAAAACCCUGUUGUUAGAGAAGGAAGUGCGUGAGAGUAACUGUUCACGUUUUGGCGGUAUCUAACCAGAAAGCCACGGCUAACUACGUGCCAGCAGCCGCGGUAAUACGUAGGUGGCAAGCGUUAUCCGGAUUUAUUGGGCGUAAAGGGAACGCAGGCGGUCUUUUAAGUCUGAUGUGAAAGCCUUCGGCUUAACCGGAGUAGUGCAUUGGAAACUGGGAGACUUGA